rnacentral:rRNA from 1 species
UACGUAGGGUGCAAGCGUUAUCCGGAAUUAUUGGGCGUAAAGAGCUCGUAGGCGGUUUGUCGCGUCUGCUGUGAAAACUGGGGGCUCAACCCCCCAGCCUGCAGUGGGUACGGGCAGACUAGAGUGCGGUAGGGGGAGAUUGGAAUUCCUGGUGUAGCGGUGGAAUGCGCAGAUAUCAGGAGGAACACCGAUGGCGAAGGCAGAUCUCUGGGCCGUAACUGACGCUGAGGAGCGAAAGCAUGGGGGAGCGAACAGG